AAUAAGGUCAUUUUUCAGUUUUUAGAUACAAAGUUUUAACUCUUCAUCUUAUUUAAAAUCUUUUUGAGAUUAAUAUUUUUUUCACUACUAGAUGAUAAAAUAUGAAUAGUACUUUAUGCAUGACUAAUUUUUUAAAGUUUUUUAUAAAUUUUUCAAUAAGAUGAAUGGUCAAAGCAUUAGGCAUAGAAAUCGAAAAAUGAUGUUAUU
rnacentral:pre_miRNA from 1 species